UCAUGUCACUUAAAGAUGGAAAGCUUCAGAAGAUUCACCCACUUACUGUGUGCAUGAUGAUGCGGGGGAAGAGCAAUGCAGGUAUAUGUCAGUUGCAAAUAUUAAAAUAUGUGUAUUUUAAAGGAGCAUCAUAUAGUAACUUUUCUAUUAAAAAUUAAAAACCGUUUUAUGUCAGAAUAGACCAAAGACAAAAAUUGCCAAAUGUAGCAAUCCCAGAACAGUGCUUUUGCAGUGAUGAGCGAAUCUCUAAGAAAAGAAUAAUCGAAGGCUAGGUAUCUAGGAAGCCAAUAGGAAGACUCAGUGGCUUACCAUUACUGAAAACCUAAAGGUGGGGAGUGCCUCCCUCCACAAAGGCCUAAUCUCGAGUAGGUUAGCAUGUGAGCUGGCUUCUCUUCUAAAUUAUCAACUUCCUAAUAUUUGGCCAACUAGUGACCCUUUCAAGGUUAUGCAUUGGUUGUUCCUGAGCAACCACACAUACUAUACAGACACGAUCAUGAACUUUGCAGUCAGGCUAACAUGGCUUUGAGAUUAGCCUUGUUUUUUUUUUUUUGUUUUUUUUUUUAAUUUUUUUAUUGUGGUAAAAUACACAUAACAUAAAAUUUACCAUGUUAAUCGUUUUUAAGUGUAUAGUUCAGUAGUGUUGAGUAUAUUCACACUGAUGUUCAACCAAUCUCCAGAACUUUUUCAUCUUGCAAAACUGAAACUCUAUACCCAUUAAAUCACUACUUCCCAUUCCCCCUUAGCUUCAGCACCUGGCAGCUACCAUUCUACUUUCUGUUUCUAUGAGUUUGGCUUCCCUGGAUACCUCACAUAUCCUGGGUAUGAAGUGUUUUUGCAUUUCCCUAACGAUUAGUAUGUUCAGCAUCUUUUCAUGUGCUUAAUCACUAUCUGUAUAUCUUCUUUGGAGAAACGGCUGUUCAAGUCCUUUGCCUAUUUUUAAAUUAAGUUGUUGACUUUUAGUUGUUAAGUUAUAAGAGUUCUUUAUAUAUUUAUUCUAUAUAUCAAUCCAUUAUCAGAUAUAGAAUUUGCAAAUAUAUUCUCCCAGUCCAUGUGUUGCAUUUUCAAACUGUUUAUGUGUCCUUUGAUGCACAAUUGUUUUUAAUCUUAAUAAGACAAAUUAUUUUUUCUUUUGUUGCUUGUGUUUUUGGUGUCAUAUCUAAGAAAUCAUUGCCAAAUCCAAUGUCAUGAAGGUUUCCUCCUACAUUUUCUUCUAGGGGUUUUAUAGUUUUAGCUCUUAUGUUGGGUUUUUGAUUGAUUUUCAGUUGAUUUUCAUAUGUGGUGUAAAGUAAGGGUCCGAUUUCAUUCUUUUGCAUGUGGAUAUCCAGUUUUCCCAUCAUCAUUUGUUAAAAGGACUAUUCUUUCCCCAUUAAGUGGUGUUGGCACCCUUGUUGAAUAUCAUUUGGACGUAUAUGCAAAAGUUUGUUUCUGGGCUCUUUAUUCUAUUUCAUUUGUUUAUAUGUCUGAUGCCAAUAAAAUACUGUUUUGAUUACUGUA
rnacentral:lncRNA from 1 species